GGCGGACGGGUGAGUAAUGCUUAGGAAUCUGCCUAUUAGUGGGGGACAACAUUUUCGAAAGGAAUGCUAAUACCGCAUACGUCCUACGGGAGAAAGCAGGGGAUCUUCGGACCUUGCGCUAAUAGAUGAGCCUAAGUCGGAUUAGCUAGUUGGUGGGGUAAAGGCCUACCAAGGCGACGAUCUGUAGCGGGUCUGAGAGGAUGAUCCGCCACACUGGGACUGAGACACGGCCCAGACUCCUACGGGAGGCAGCAGUGGGGAAUAUUGGACAAUGGGCGCAAGCCUGAUCCAGCCAUGCCGCGUGUGUGAAGAAGGCCUUAUGGUUGUAAAGCACUUUAAGCGAGGAGGAGGCUACUGAAGUUAAUACCUUCAGAUAGUGGACGUUACUCGCAGAAUAAGCACCGGCUAACUCUGUGCCAGCAGCCGCGGUAAUACAGAGGGUGCAAGCGUUAAUCGGAUUUACUGGGCGUAAAGCGCGCGUAGGCGGCUAAUUAAGUCAAAUGUGAAAUCCCCGAGCUUAACUUGGGAAUUGCAUUCGAUACUGGUUAGCUAGAGUGUGGGAGAGGAUGGUAGAAUUCCAGGUGUAGCGGUGAAAUGCGUAGAGAUCUGGAGGAAUACCGAUGGCGAAGGCAGCCAUCUGGCCUAACACUGACGCUGAGGUGCGAAAGCAUGGGGAGCAAACAGGAUUAGAUACCCUGGUAGUCCAUGCCGUAAACGAUGUCUACUAGCCGUUGGG
rnacentral:rRNA from 1 species